UAUUUGAAUUUGCCCAUUAAAUAAAUGGUUUCUUCAAGUGAAAAGCCUCACGCUGUCCAGAUUUUCUUAAUUUUCUUUUCUUAAACGACUGCUAUUAAAAAUGUAGUAGUUGCAUUAUAAACUGUAACGUUCCACUCUAAAGGAUGAUCCAAUAUUCAGGAAUAAAAUAUUAUUUCAGCUUCCUCAUUAGUAAUUAAUUGGAUUUCAAUAACUUGUUGCAUCUUAUCGUUGCUGAAACUCAUAAUCCCUGAUGAGUAUGCUUUUUCAAUCUACCCUGUGGUUAUGGAUUUUAAAAAUGUAUACUAAGGGCCAUCAUUACAGAACACCUUUACUGUUCAUUGUCCAGUCUAUAGAAGGUAACAUCACCAGUACAAUUAAAGAGAUUUUAAAGGAAUGCUACAACAUCAAUUCAAUUGCAACAAGAAACUUCUAAUUAUAAUUUGACUUGAAACCUAAUUUUUGAAAAUGUUUCCUAUUAAGUUAUAAUAAAUGAAGAAUGAUGAAAUAAUUUGGUAUCAGUUUAGAUUCUUGCUAAAAAAAUGAACUUUCAGCUAAUGUAAGACAUUAGACACUCGUUUUGUCUUAAUUUAAUAAUAAAGUGUAAAAUCUCCAUAGUGAAUGAACUAUAUUUAAUCUUAAAAAACUCGCUUGUAUAUGAUUUGAAAUUAAGGCAUUUGUUAAACCUUUAAUAUGAUUGCACAUCCUAAAAUUAUUGAAUUUUUUCACCUUUCACUUUUCUCUGUUUUUUUCUGCAAUCAAGGAGGUUUUACAAUUUUUCUCUUAGCCUUUCACAAUCGAGUGAUUCAAUCGAUGUUUAAGAUUGUGAAAAUAUAGAUUGUGUUACAAUAACCAUCCUAAUCUUUACAAAACAAAAUUAUGAACGGAAAGAUAUGUACCAUCCAAAAGUUUGCUAACACACAGAGAAAAAUAUUCUUGUAGAUAAAAUUAUCGUAUUGUGUGGUAAUGACAAUUUUGAUAAAAAGAACAACAUAUUCUGGUAAUGAAAAUCAAAAUAUAUACGGUAUUGAAACCAUUCAUUUGGUACAUUUUCUCUUCAUAUGGUACUGAAUUAACGGAAAUUGUAGUUUUUAAAAAUAUAAUUCUUAUUCCCUCACAUUUAGUAAAAAAAAAGAGCAUUAAGAAGUUAUUUUAACCGGAUCAAUGA